rnacentral:rRNA from 1 species
GUGGAGCAUGUGGCUUAAUUUGACUCAACGCGGGAAAUCUUACCGGGUCCGGACACACUGAGGAUUGACAGGCAUUAUCAUUUAAGUGAAUUUCGGUUCAUUUUUAUGUGUAAAUAUGCUAGUCCUUUCAUGAUUAUGUGAUAGGUGGUGCAUGGCUGUUCUUAGUUCGUGGAGUGAUCUGUCUGCUUAAUUGCGUUUCACUAGGAGCUUAUAACACAAACGUAUGUUUGCUAGCGUAUUUUGACCCCCAUUUGAUUAUUUCACAUUUUUUUGGUUUUUUUUUUUUAAAAAAAAUCAAAUUUUUGUGAUUUAAGAAGAUGCGUGUGUUUGUCAUUUAUGCAUCAAAGCAUCAUACAAUUAAGCUCUGAAAGCAACGAACGUGACCG